AAUAUUGGACAAUCGUGCGCAAGCCUGACCCACCCAUGCGUGCGUGAGUGAUGAAGGCCACUAGGGUCGUAAAGCUCUUUCACCGGUGAAGGAUAAUGACGGUAACCGGAGAAGAAGCCCCGGCUAACUUCGUUCCAGCAGCCGCGGUAAUACGAGGGGGGCUAGCGUUGUUCGGAUUUACUGGGCGUAAAGCGCACGUAGGCGGAUUUUUAAGUCAGGGGUGAAAUCCCGGGGCUCAACCCCGGAACUGCCUUUGAUACUGGAAUUCUAGAGUAUGGUAGAGGUGAGUGGAAUUCCGAGUGUAGAGGUGAAAUUCGUAGAUAUUCGGAGGAACCCCAGUGGCGAAGGCGGCUCACUGGGCCAUUACUGACGCUGAGGUGAAAAAGCGGGGGGAGCAAACAAGAUUAGAUCCCCUGGUAGCCCACCCCCUAAACAAUGAUCCGUCAAUUCCUUUGAGUUUACUCUUCGGUGGCGCAGCUAACGCAUAAGCA
rnacentral:rRNA from 1 species